UCCCAUGUGGCUCAGUUGGUAGAGCAUGAGGCUUGCAACACCAGGGUUGUGGGUUUGAUUCCCAUGGGGAA
rnacentral:tRNA from 1 species